rnacentral:rRNA from 1 species
AUCUUCCGCAAUGGGCGAAAGCCUGACGGAGCAACGCCGCGUGAGUGAUGAAGGGUUUCGGCUCGUAAAACUCUGUUAUUAGGGAAGAACAAAUGUGUAAGUAACUGUGUACAUUUUUACGGUACCUAAACAGAAAGCCACGGCUAAAUACGUGCCAGCAGCCGCGGUAAUACGUAGGUGGCAAGCGUUAUCCGGAAUUAUUGGGCGUAAAGCGCGCGUAGGCGGUUUCUUAAGUCUGAUGUGAAGGCCCACGGCUCAACCGUGGAGGGUCAUUGGAAACUGGGAAACUUGAGUGCAGAAGAGGAAAGUGGAAUUCCAUGUGUAGCGGUGAAAUGCACAGAGAUAUGGAGGAACGCCAGUGGCGAAGGCGACUUUCUGGUCUGUAACUGACGCUGAUGUGCGAAAGCGUGGGGAUCAAACA